GCCCAUGCAGCUGGGGCGCGUCCACCUAACCAUGGAGGAACGCGACCAGCGCCGACGGACGGGCGCUUGCAUGUAUUGUGGGAGGACGGGCCAUAUCCUCCUUCACUGUCCCCGGCGCCCGGGAAACGAACCGCUCCUUGCCCCUCUCCGCCCUCGUCGAUUCCGGAGCAGACGAGAGUUUUUGGACCGAAGGGUGGCUCGACAGCUGGGAGUAGACCUCAUCCCACUCGACGUGCCUAUGGAGACUCCUGUGGUCCUGGGCCAUCCCUGGCUUCGUCUCCAUAACCCCAGUUUGGAGUGGGUUUCUGGUAGGAUCACUGCUUGGAGUACCCAUUGCCUAUUGAACUGUUUACGCUCCGCCU
ensembl:lncRNA